UUGAGUUUGAUCGUGGCUCAGGACGAACGCUUGCGGCGUGCCUAAUACAUGCAAGUCGAACGCUUUUUCUUUCACCGGAGCUUGCUCCACCGAAAGAAAAAGAGUGGCGAACGGGUGAGUAACACGUGGGUAACCUGCCCAUCAGAAGGGGAUAACACUUGGAAACAGGUGCUAAUACCGUAUAACACUAUUUUCCGCAUGGAAGAAAGUUGAAAGGCGCUUUUGCGUCACUGAUGGAUGGACCCGCGGUGCAUUAGCUAGUUGGUGAGGUAACGGCUCACCAAGGCAACGAUGCAUAGCCGACCUGAGAGGGUGAUCGGCCACACUGGGACUGAGACACGGCCCAGACUCCUACGGGAGGCAGCAGUAGGGAAUCUUCGGCAAUGGACGAAAGUCUGACCGAGCAACGCCGCGUGAGUGAAGAAGGUUUUCGGAUCGUAAAACUCUGUUGUUAGAGAAGAACAAGGAUGAGAGUAAAAUGUUCAUCCCUUGACGGUAUCUAACCAGAAAGCCACGGCUAACUACGUGCCAGCCGCCGCCGUAACACAAA
rnacentral:rRNA from 1 species